rnacentral:rRNA from 1 species
UACGAGGGGUGCAAGCGUUAUCCGGAAUUAUUGGGCGUACAGGGCGCGUAGGCGGCUUAUUAAGUCUUUUGUUAAAUAUCCCGGCCUAACCGGGAAACAGCAACAGAUACUGGUGAGCUUGAGGGUGGAAGAGAGAAGCGGAAUUCUCGGAGUAGCGGUAAAAUGCGUAGAUCUCGAGAGGAACACCGAUGGCGAAGGCAGCUUCUUGGUCCAUACCUGACGCUGAGGCGCGAAAGCGUGGGGAGCAAACAGG